rnacentral:rRNA from 1 species
CCUACGGGUGGCUGCAGUGAGGAAUAUUGGUCAAUGGACGAGAGUCUGAACCAGCCAAGUCGCGUGAAGGAUGACUGCCCUAUGGGUUGUAAACCUCUUUUAUAAGGGAAUAAAACGAGGCACGUGUGCCUUUUUGCAGGUACCUUAUGAAUAAGGAUCGGCUAACUCCGUGCCAGCCGCCGCCGUAAUACGGAGGAUUCGAGCGUUAUCCGGAUUUAUUGGGGUUAAAGGGAUCGGAGAUGGGUUGUUAAGUCAGUUGUGAAAGUUUGGGGGUCAACCGUAAAAUUGCCAUUGAUACUGGCAGUCUUGAGUACAGUAGAGGUAGGCGGAAUUCGUGGUGUAGCGGUGAAAUGCUUAGAUAUCACGAAGAACCCCGAUUGCGAAGGCAGCUUAC